UCUAAUCUUUAUUAUUUCCUUCCUUGAGUUAGCAUUGGCUUAAAUUUUUUCUCAUUUCUUUCUUUCUUUCUCUCUUCCUUUCUUUUUAUUUUUAUUUUAUUUUAUUUUAUUUUUGCUUUUUAGGGCCACAGCUGCAGCAUAUAGAAGUUCCCAGGCUAGGGGUCGAAUCGGAGCUGUAGCCGCCUGCCUACGCCAGAGCCACAGCAACGUGGGAUCCGAGCCGCGUCUGCAACCUACACCACAGCUCACGGCAAUGCCAGAUCGUUAACCCACUGAGCAAGGGCAGGGACCGAACCCGCAACCUCAUGGUUCCUAGUCGGAUUCGUCAACCACUGCGCCACGACGGGAACUCCCUCUCUCCUUUAAUAUUUUGGAACAGGUCGUACUUUCCAUGAUUUAAAAUCAAAAUGAUAAAAAAUGGUAAAAAAAAAAAAAAAAAAGUUCCAAAAUCUUGCUGUUUCUCCAUCUCCCCUGCUCUUCAGCGCCCCCUACUGGCACUUUCAUCAGCUCCGCACAAGGUAAACUCUGGGACAGUUUUACCUUGGAAUUGUCAUUCAUUCCCGCCACAGCGUUUGCACUGAUCUGUGUCUCACCCUCACUUCUCCCCAUGCGUGCAGAGAGCUUCCUCGCUCCUCUGAUAGCUGCGCAGAGCCCUAGUGUCGUGUGCCGCUUUGCAUGCGUGCACGCAUAUCUGUGGGCAGCUCAUCUUGUGGCCCUGACUUAGCUGCUCCCCCACCCUCUCAGCCUCCCCUGCAGGAGACCCCAGCUCAGGGACGAUGGGACGUGGCCUGACCCACUGAGAGUUCAGGACCCCCCAGUCGGUGUGAGAGAUCAGGACACUACCCCCACUCCAAGUCCACGUGUGAGAUCAGGACCCCUCCCCCCUCCACGUGUGAGGUCAGGACCCCCCAGCACACAGAUUGCUCCCCCCUCCCCACCCCACAGUCCACGUGUGAGAUCUGGAACCCCCAGUCCAGGAGUAAGAUCAGACCCCCCCCCCCACCCCACCGGUGAGAUUGGGACACCCUCCCAGUCCAAGUGAGAUCAGGACACCCCCAAGUCCAAGUGAGAUCAGGACACCCCCCCACACACACACAAGUCUGCGUGAGAGGCCAGGGCCUACACCCAUUAAGAAACCCCAAGGAAGAACUACUGAACACAGUCAAUCCAAAGGGACAUUGGAAAAACGGACACUUGGUUUCAAGCUACUGUGUUCUGGGGGUGGUUUAAAAGCAAUAGUGGAGGAGUUCCCGUCGUGGCGCAGCAGAAACCACCCUACCAGGAAGCAUGAGGUUGCAGGUUUGAUCCCUGGCCUCGCUUGGUGGGUUAAGGAUCUGGCGUUGCUCUGAGCUGUGGUGAAGUUGGAGACGAGGCUCGGAUCUGGCGUUGCUGUGGCUGUGGUGGAGGCUGGCAGCAACAGCUCCGAUUCGACCCCCUGCCCUGGGAACUUCCAUAUGCUGAGGGUGCGGCCCUAAAAAGACAAAAAGACAAAAAAGCAGUAGUGGAUGCCCAGAGCUUCUACUUAGAAGGGGUACACACCACCUUCCCUCUCAGGAUCCACCAGUGACCCCCUGCCCUAUGUCACUGGCCAAGAGCUGGUGUCCACAGGGCAGAAGAGGAGGACUGUCCUGCCUCAAAGGGGCUGCAAGUGCUCAGGAAUGAGAGAAAGGGGUAAAGGAAAGUGCCCAUAAGCUGCAUUUGAAUAUAUUCUCAAUAACCCCAUUCAAAGCACAGUGAAUACAGACCCCUUUACAGCACAGUAGCAAAAAUAAAGUUCCUGUCUUGGACACAUCUGUUCCAUCUGUUCCACGGGAACAGCACUCUGGGAGGCUGGAGAGGUGAGCAGUGAGCAGACGCUGCUCUGCUGGGUCAUUUCCAGCCACGAUUCACCAGGCAUGCUGCUUCUGCCAGGUGACUAAACACCUCUUCCUAAACUGUUAACAUUUUACCGUGUGUGCGCUGAGGCUGCAUUAAAUGGCAGUGUGGUUGGGAAAUCCUUUAAAGUAUGUGACAGCAUAGCAAAGCAUAAAGUCAUCUGCGAGUGCAGGAGCUGCCUGGGUAUCAGUGCCCGAGGGCACAGCUGGCGCCUCGGAGCUCUCUCCCUCUGUGGGUGCCUGGGCCUGAGCAGAGCCAAGCAGCCGUCAGGGCAGAGUUCCUGGCACAGGCUUGGCAAGGGCUCUUCCUCUAGAAACAGAUUCUUUAAUAAACCCUUGCAUCUGCAAGUAACGUAGAGUGAACAUCCCGGGACUGUUGACAUUGGGGAGCAAGGUGCUAACUCAGGCUACAGAUCCUCUCAAGAGAACCCAAGCUAUGCAGCAUGCAUGCUCCUGCAUGGCACCUCCAUGGGUACAACUCCCAGUCUUGUCCCGAGCCCCAGAUGAGAAGACAUUUGUGACAAGCAGAGGGAAGAGGUAGGCAGGGGAGACAGGUGUAUAGGGUCUGAGGGCAGACUAAGCGCACCUCAUAGUGUUGGACAGUGACCAGCAGAGGGCGGUAAGAAGUGGAUAGUGAGGGACAACUGGCCCAGGGUGUCUCAGAUGACUGGCUCCAGGGCCCUGGUGCCGGGGCAGCCUCAGGAGGUGAAGAACACUUCUCCUUGGGAAUGAAGGGAGGAAGCAGAGGGAGCAGGCUAUCAAUCUUAUGUGUGUAGGACCCUCAGAAACAGGAUCCUGGGGACGAGGCUCAUGUAUGGACAAGGUCCUUCAACAGACAUUUACUGAGUGAUGCUGGGGAUAAAGCUCAGGAGUAGGACAAGGUCCUUCCACAAACAUUUAUCAAGUGAUGCUGGGGACCAGGCUUGGGUGUAGGACAGGGUCCUUCCACAGACAUUUACUGAGUGACUGGGGACGAGGCUCAGGUGUAGGAUGGUGUCCUUCCACAGACAUUUACUGUAAAAUGCUGGGGACGAGGCUUGGGUGUAGGAACAGGUCUUUCCACACAUGUUUACUGAGUGGUGCUGGGGAUGAGGCUUGGGUGUAGGACACUGGUUCCUGCUCUGCUGUCUGAAUAGGGCCAGCAAGGGUGUAGGAAUACAUUAUUGACCUGGAAAAUUCCAGGCCCUGUAUGUCACAGCAUGGGAAAAGGGACAGUGCGGUCCUUGUGGAGGCCAACGCAGGGAGACCAGUGAGUACAGGGCCUGGGGAGCUGGCCUCUACAUCCCAUUCCCAGCCUUCUGGUCGCCCAGCCCUCCCCUUCCUCCCCCCACUUUAUUUUCUUCCAUCUCACACACUCUGUGAUUCCCCCAUUUGUUUUGUUCGUUGCCCAUCCCCAACCAUUGGAUGCAAGUGCCGUAAGGUGAAGAUGUGUUUUUUCUUUUUUCUGACAUAUAGUUGAUUUUAAAUAUUGUGUUAAUUUCUACUAUUAUACAUAUAUAUUUCUUCUUCUUUUUUUUUUAAUGGCUGCACCUGCAGCAUGUGGAGAUUCCCAGGCUAGGAGUCAAAUCAGAGCUGCGGCUGCGGCUGAGGCUGGCACCACAGCCACAGCAACACCAGAUCCGAGCUGCAUCUGCGACCUAGGCCACAGCUUGCAACAGUGCUGAAUCCUUAACCCAGUGAGCAAGGCCAGGGAUUGAACCUCCAGGGGACAAGGCCAGGUCCUUAACCUGCUGAGCCAAAAUGAGAACUCCUAAAAAUUCUUUUUUAUAUUCUUUUCCAUUACGGUUUAUCGCAGGAUAUUGAACGUAUUGCUCAUCCAUUCUAAAUGUUAUAGUUUGCAUAUACUAACCCCAAACUCCCACUCUAUCCCUCCCCUACCCACCCUUUGGCAACCACAACUCUAUUCUCUAUGUGAUUCUAUUUCUGUUGCAUAGAUAAAUUCAUUUGUGUCAUAUUUUAGAUUCUGCAUAAAAGUGAUAUCAUAUGGUAUUUGUCUUUUUGAUUACUUCACUUAAUAUGAUAAUCCCUAGGUCCAUCCAUGUUGCUACAAAUGGCAUUUUUAUUCUUGUUAAUGUUGAGUAAUUGUCCAUUGUUUAUAUGUACUGCAUUUUCUUUAUUCAUUCAUCUGUUGAUGGGCAUUUAGGUCAUUUCAUGUCUUGACUAUUGUGAAUAGUGCUGCAAUGAACAUAGGGGUGCAUGUAUAUUUUUGAAUUCUAAUUUUUAUCUGAAUAGAUGCCCAGGAAUGGGAUUGCUGGAUCAUAUUGUAAUUCUAUUUUUAGUUUUUAAGGAACCUCCAUACUGUUCUCCAUAGUGGCUGCACCAACUUAUAUUUCCACCAGCAGUAUAGGAGGGUUCCUUUUCCUCCACAACCUCUCCAGCAUCUGUCAUUUGUAGAUUUUUUAGUGAUGGCCAUUCUGACUGAGGAAGGUGGUAGGAUCCUGUUGUAGUUUUGAUUUGUGUUUCUCUAAUUAGUGACAUUGAGCAUCUUUUCAUAUGCCUGUCGGCCAUUUGUAUGUCUUCUUUGGUGAAAUGUGUAUUUAGGUCUUCUGCCCAUUAUUCAAAUUGGGUUUUUUGUUGUUUUUAGUGUUAUUGUUGGGUUGUAUGUUGUUGAUUUAAUAUUUUGGAUAUUAAGCCCUUGUUGGUCACAUUUUUUGCAAAAAUUUUUUCCCAUUCUAUAGGUUGUCUCUUUGGUUUUUGGGUUUUGUUUUGAAGGGUUUUUUUUUUUUUUUGGUCAUUUUUUAGGGCCAUGUCCAUGGCAUAUGGAAGUUCCCAGGCCAGGGGUCAAAUCAGCCACAGCA
rnacentral:lncRNA from 1 species